UAAUGCCGGAUGUUCCACAUGAGCGCAUGCGAGUGUGGGAAAGGCUUUUGCGGCAUGGGAUGGGGUCGCGUCCUAUCAGCUUGUUGGUGGGGUAACGGCCUACCAAGGCGUUGACGGGUAGCCGGCCUGAGAGGGCGACCGGCCACAUUGGGACUGAGAUACGGCCCAGACUCCUACGGGAGGCAGCAGUGGGGAAUAUUGCACAAUGGGCGCAAGCCUGAUGCAGCGACGCCGCGUGCGGGAUGGAGGCCUUCGGGUUGUAAACCGCUUUUGUUUGGGAGCAAGCCCUUCGGGGUGAGUGUACCUUUCGAAUAAGCACCGGCUAACUACGUGCCAGCAGCCGCGGUAAUACGUAGGGUGCGAGCGUUAUCCGGAUUUAUUGGGCGUAAAGGGCUCGUAGGCGGUUCGUCGCGUCCGGUGUGAAAGUCCAUCGCCUAACGGUGGAUCUGCGCCGGGUACGGGCGGGCUGGAGUGCGGUAGGGGAGACUGGAAUUCCCGGUGUAACGGUGGAAUG
rnacentral:rRNA from 1 species